CCCGGAUUAGGGGAUUAGUUACUCAUAAUUGAAUAAGAAACUGUAUAUGUAUGAGUAAACCAAACCAUGAGUACAAGAGUCAAGAGUAGAAGAAUACAACUUUAAGAGCUCCUUAAAACACCGGAUGAAUCCCUUCAACCCUUUGCUCUAUCUCCCUCUACAAGUGUUUCUCUCUCUCUCGAUACAAAAUAAUCUCCGAUAUAUCUCU
rnacentral:lncRNA from 1 species